AUAAAUAGCGCCCAAGCUCGGGGGUAACGGAUAUGGUUUCUUUGAUCCCUUUUUCUUACAUGCUUUGGUGGUUGUUCAAGUUUGUCAUCUCACAUUUGGGUCGUCUAGUCACUGGUUUCUUGAUUUGCUCAUCGUUUUAGGCAGAUUGAACAUGGCAGCAUAUAGUGUUGUUGCUACAGUUCUUAACCUUAAAAACUAUGAUGAAUGGAGUUCUCGGGUUAAGACUUACUUGAUGGCAGAAGAUCUUUGGGAUAUCGUCGAAGGCACAUAUAAAGAACCGCCUCUUAUUGACCCCCUUCCAACUGAUGGAUCUUACACCAGAAGAAAAAGAAGCUGAAAUUAAGGCUUGGAAGGCUGCUUCAGCUUUGCUGGAGCUGCUAUAUGUAGAAGGUUCAACGAUCAUGUUGCCUCUACUUUUGCUUGCUUAUUUAUUUUUCGUUACAACUCUAUUUCACAAAUAACCUUUGGCUACACAUUCAUGUGAUUGAACUCUAUCCGAAAAUACAAAUAUUGACC